rnacentral:rRNA from 1 species
GGGGAAUCUUCCGCAAUGGACGAAAGUCUGACGGAGCAACGCCGCGUGAGUGAUGACGGCCUUCGGGUUGUAAAGCUCUGUUAAUCGGGACGAAAGGUCCUCUUGCGAAUAGUUAGAGGAAUUGACGGUACCGGAAUAGAAAGCCACGGCUAACUACGUGCCAGCAGCCGCGGUAAUACGUAGGUGGCAAGCGUUGUCCGGAAUUAUUGGGCGUAAAGCGCGCGCAGGCGGAUCAGUUAGUCUGUCUUAAAAGUUCGGGGCUUAACCCCGUGAUGGGAUGGAAACUGCUGAUCUAGAGUAUCGGAGAGGAAAGUGGAAUUCCUAGUGUAGCGGUGAAAUGCGUAGAUAUUAGGAAGAACACCAGUGGCGAAGGCGACUUUCUGGACGAAAACUGACGCUGAGGCGCGAAAGCCAGGGGAGCGAACGGGAUUAGAUACCCCGGUAGUCCUGGCCGUAAACGAUGGGUACUAGGUGUAGGAGGUAUCGACCCCUUCUGUGCCGGAGUUAACGCAAUAAGUACCCCGCCUGGGGAGUACGACCGCAAGGUUG